rnacentral:lncRNA from 1 species
UGGUGGUGGAAGCUCCUCGAGCGGCAGCAGCCGCGCUGCGAUGAUGGAUCGCAAUAGGACGACGACUUCGUCUUCGUCAUCGGCGUCUAGAAAUCGACGCCGGAGCCACCAUCGCUGAGCAAAGACGAGAGCAAAGUUCUUAUUUCUUCCUUUUUUCAAAUCAAAUAGCCCGCCCAAGGGUAUAUUCCACUUCUCUGCUUUUUUGAAUUCAAAUCACCCGCAUAUUCUCUCAUUUUUAGGGUUCUUGGGGCUAGGGUUUAUGGCGACCGCGAUCUUGUGGAGCGCGCAUUCUCCGCCUCUCCCGCAAUGCGGCGUCUCGAUCGGAGUGUUUCGAACGUCCCGAGCAGGGGCAUCGGCUUCGGCGGCGGUGGCGCCGUCCUGUGCCACUGGUGCCGACGAGAUUUUCAGCGUGCGCGGUGCCGAGGAGGCGUCCAAGCAGAUCGAGACGAGAGUCGCCAAGCUGGUGAGUGCCUUCUCGUCGCCGGGGGGGAAAUCACAGGAUCUGGAGGGUGUAGCGCUGUGUCCUCGUGUGGCGGGGCGUGUCCUAGAGAGGAUGUCCGACCCAGAUGCCGCGCUGCGCUUCUUCCACUGGGCGAGCAAGCAGCAGGGCUUCGAUCACAACGUCUACACCUACAAUCGCCUGUUUGAGGCGCUGCUGCGGGCUCGCCGGAUCGAUGAGACUUGCCACAUCCUUAAGAACGGGUGGCCUCCCGGGAUCACGCCCAACGUCUUCACGUAUGCUGUGGUGAUCCAGGGCCUGUGUAAGUCCGGGGAUCUGGACAAGGCUUGCGAGCUCCUGGAGGAGAUGAGAGAAUCCGGGCCCGUCCCAGAUGCCGCGAUUUACAACUUCGUCAUCCAUGCUCUCUGCAAGGCCAGGAACACCGCAAAGGCUCUCGACUACUUUAGAAGCAUGGAAUGUGAAAAGAAUGUGAUCACGUGGACCAUUAUGAUCGAUGGCCUCUGCAAGGCGAAUCGCCUGCCCGAGGCCACCACCUAUUUCGCGAAGAUGAAGAAGAAAGGUACUGUGCCUAACGAGUGGACUUACAAUGUGCUGAUCAAUGGAUUUUGCAAGGUACACAAGGUGCACAGAGCCUACUUGCUGCUCAAGGAGAUGAAAGAGUCGGGGCUUGCUCCAAAUGUGGUGACUUACAGCACGGUUAUCCAUGGAUUCUGCCGGCAGACAAAGGUUGACACGGCUUACAAGCUCUUCCGGCAAAUGGUGGAGAACGGCUGCAUGCCAAACCUUGUGACUUACAACACGCUGCUCUCGGGGCUGUGCCGCAAUGGGCUCAUGGACGAGGCUUAUGAGCUUUUGGACGAGAUGAGGGAACGGGGGCUCCAGCCGGACAAGUUCAGCUAUGACACCCUCAUGGCUGGGCUUUGCAAGACUGGGAAGAUCGAUAUGGCUUUGAAAGUCUUCGAGGAUAACAGCAACGGUGAUUGUCCUCCGGACGUUGUAGCUUACAGCACUCUCAUCGCUGGGCUUUGCAAGGCUGGAAGGCUGGACGAGGCUUGCAAGCUCUUUGAGAAAAUGCGAGAGAACUCCUGCGAGCCUGACGUUGUCACUUUCACGGCACUCAUGGAUGGACUGUGCAAAGGGGACCGUUUGCAAGAGGCGCAACAGGUUUUGGAGACGAUGGAGGACCGGAACUGCACUCCCAACGUGAUCACUUACAGCAGCCUGAUCGACGGGCUUUGCAAGACUGGCCAGGUGCGAGACGCUCAAGAGGUUUUCAAGAGAAUGAUAGUCCGGGGCAUUGAGCCAAACGUGGUGACUUACAACAGCUUGAUCCAUGGCUUUUGCAUGACCAACGGGGUAGACUCCGCACUUUUGCUAAUGGAAGAGAUGACAGCAACAGGGUGCCUUCCGGAUAUCAUCACCUACAACACACUUAUUGACGGACUUUGCAAGACGGGAAGGGCGCCGGAAGCGAACAGGCUGUUUGGAGACAUGAAGGCCAAGUUUUGCAACCCGGAUGUUAUCACGUACAGCUGCUUGAUCGGCGGGUUUUGUAAGCUGGAGAGAAUCGACAUGGCUCGCACGUUGUUCGAUGACAUGCUCAAGCAGGCAGUCCUCCCCGAUGUCGUCACUUUCUCGACACUAGUGGAAGGAUACUGUAAUGCUGGACUGGUGGAUGAUGCCGAGAGGCUUCUGGAAGAGAUGGUUGCCAGUGACUGCUCUCCGGACGUGUAUACUUACACAAGCCUGGUCGACGGCUUCUGCAAAGUCGGAAGAAUGGUGGAGGCGCGCAGAGUUCUCAAGCGAAUGGCCAAGCGGGGAUGCCAGCCCAACGUGGUGACUUACACCGCUCUCAUUGACGCGUUCUGCAGAGCUGGGAAGCCGACGGUGGCUUACAGGCUGUUGGAGGAGAUGGUUGGCAACGGCGUCCAGCCGAACGUUAUCACGUACAGGAGCUUGAUCGGUGGCUUCUGUGGGACUGGGGACCUGGAAGAGGCUCGCAAGAUCCUCGAGAGACUGGAGCGCGACGAGAACUGCAAGGCGGAUAUGUUCGCGUACCGGGUGAUGAUGGACGGGCUGUGUAGAACAGGGAGAAUGAGCGCAGCUCUGGAGCUUCUCGAGGCCAUCAAGCAGAGUGGCACGCCUCCUCGCCACGAUAUCUAUGUGGCGUUGAUCAGGGGGCUGUGCCAGGGGAAGGAGCUCGGCAAAGCCAUGGAAGUUUUGGAAGAGAUGACGCUCUCGAGGAAAAGCAGGCCAAAUGCCGAGGCUUACGAGGCGGUGAUCCAGGAGCUAGCAAGAGAAGGGAGGCACGAAGAGGCAAACGCGCUCGCAGACGAAUUACUUGGUAACAAAGGCCAGUAAAAAGAGAUUGUAAUCACAAAUCCUGAAUAUUGUGUGAAUACUAUAGAUGUUCUCCUGGUAUGUUUCCUAAGGCUUUUGCAGAAAUCAACAACAGUGGCCGUAAAACUUAUGUUCGAUACCACUCAUUUGCUAGCGAUAAGGCAAAGGCUAUAUUAUCCAUCGUGUCAUAAUAGAAUGUCAUUGACUUUUUCAACCCGUGAGAAUUCUAGCAUCUCUUUAGCAAAAAAUGAUUCCCUAGAUCACAUCCAUAAUAGAUGGACCACCAGCAUCACUUUUUCACCUGAUUGUUAACUUUCAUUUUUUCCUUCUUGAUUUUUUUGAAAGUUCUUGAUCGUAAGCCACAAAUUUUUCAUUUUUGUCUAUUCAACCACGUUCCAAUUUUUUUUAGCCUUAUGUCUAUUCAAUUACGUACUACAUGAACAACCAAAGGUUCCCACUUAUUGUACCAAUUCUUUCUUAGCCUUAUGUAGAUUCAACUACGUACUACAUGAACAACCAAAGGUUCCCACUUAUUGUACCAAUUCUUUCUUAGCCUUAUGUAGAUUCAACUACGUACUACAUGAACAACAUGAGCAACACAAGCAAGAAAACAACCAUUCAACUGUUCAGUUUCUAUUUUUAUUUAUAAAGCCCUCUUUUACAGUUUAAAGUUCAUGUAGGACUCUUCUUUCAUGGCUGUUUCAUCCAUUGUGAGCAUUUUCGCAGCAGAGAAAAGAUAUUCCAUUCCACCAGUGUGUAAACUCCUUGCCUCUCCAGUGCUGAAUCCUCUGUACGAUGCAAAGGCCGAGUCUCAGAUCAAUGCGUGGUGCGCCGAGUUUCUGAAGUUGCAACCUGGAAGCGAGAAAGCUGUGUUUGUUCAAGAAAGCAGGCUUGGAUUGCUCGCGGCUUAUGUUUACCCGACCAUUCCAUACGAGAAGAUUGUUCCGGUUGGAAAGUUCUUCGCUUGGUACUUUCUUGCAGAUGACAUUCUGGAUAGCCCGGAGAUCUCCUCGUCGGACAUGAGGAAUGUGACAACUGCAUACAAGAUGGUUUUAAAGGGAAAAUUCGACGAGGCCACGCUUCCAGUGAAAAAUCCGGAGCUGCUGAGGCAAAUGAAGAUGUUAUCUGAGGUCUUGGAAGAAUUGUUCCUCCAUAUAGUGGAUGAAUCAGGCCGAUUCGUGGAUGCUCUGACCAAGGUGCUCGACAUGUUUGAGAUUGAAUCGAGCUGGCUUCGCAAGCAAAUCAUUCCCAACUUGGAUACGUACCUCUGGCUGAGAGAGAUCACAUCUGGUGUUGCUCCUUGCUUUGCUCUGAUUGAUGGUUUACUGCAACUUAGGCUGGAGGAGCGUGGCGUGCUGGAUCAUCCUCUCAUACGCAAGGUUGAGGAGAUUGGGACGCACCACAUUGCGCUCCACAAUGACAUGAUCUCGUUCAGGAAGGAGUGGGCGAAAGGAUACUACCUCAAUGCCGUGCCCAUUCUCGCCAGCAAUUGUAAGUGUGGCUUGAACGAGGCAAUUGGCAAGGUUGCGAGCAUGGUGGAGGAUGUGGAGAAGGAUUUCGCCCAGACAAAGCAUGAGAUCGUUUCAAGUGGGCUUGCCAUGAAGCAAGGAGUCAUGGACUAUGUGAACGGGAUAGAGGUGUGGAUGGCCGGAAACGUAGAAUGGGCAUGGACGAGCGCUAGAUACCAUGGAAUUGGGUGGAUCCCUCCUCCAGAAAAAUCAGCGACCUUCCAACUCUAGAUUGUUGCUCAAAUAGUAAUUAAUAAUUUCUCUCAUGGAGUGUUUUAGAAAUUCAUAUCUAAGCAGUGUUUUCGUCCUGAACAAGCAAAUUGAAAUGCACGGUAGAUGUGGUAACAUCAAGCAUGCAGCUCAGAUCUUCCAUGGUAUGGCCAAGAGGGACAAGUUCAGUUGGGAUCUUUUGCUGGUUGCCUUCUGCAAAAACGGGCAUUUUGAUGAAGCGCGAAGGCUCUUCAGCUGCAUGCCGUGCUGGAGUCUCGUGUCAUUUACUGCUAUGAUUUCUGUUGCCUCCCAGAGAGGCCAAAGCAAGAAAUACAAUCUGUUACAAACUUGAUGCCAGAGCACGAUCUUUUCUCUGUAAACGCGGUGCUUUUUGCCUUUGCCGAAAAUGGGCAUCUUGAUUCUGCCAAGGUAGUAUUUAGCAAAAUGCCUGCUCGCAACUUGGUGUCGUGGACGACGAUGCUGGGGGCUUUAUCUCAAUUCGCGGAUGUGGAAAGCACUUUUGAAGAGAUGCCGGAGCACGAUGUCGUCUCGUGCACUUGCGCAAUUGCAGCAUUCUCCCGUCACGGGCAUCUGGAGUCUUCUCUGGAGCUCUUCCACGCCAUGCGUGUGAGGAAUUUCUCGACUUGCACCGCAAUCCUCUCCGGCUACGUCCACUGCGGCCUCCUGAAAGAGUCCGAGCGCUUCUUUCACGAUCAAAUGCCACAGCACGAUCUUGUCUCCGUCACAACGCUGCUCGUCGCCUACACCCAAAGCCAACGCCUUGAGGAAGCCAGCUGCCUCUUUGAUUCUCUUCCGUACGUAGAUGCCGUGUGUUGGAACGCCAUAGCCACGGGACUUUCCCAGUGCGGCCUCCUGGACGAAACCACGAAAAUCCUCGACAAAAUGCCGGCAUGGAAUCUUGCAACCUGGAACACGCUGCUAACAUCACACUCCUUGCAAGGGAAUCUUACCGGGGCUAGAAGAGUCUUUCACGAAAUGCCAUACAAGAACUUGGUGUCGUGGAACGCAAUGCUCUCGGCAUAUGCCCAAAACGGGCAGCUUUCUCUUGCAAGGAAGGUGUUCCAAACGAUGCCCCUGCGCAGCGUUGAAUCCUUCAGUGUAAUGCUGACCGCAUAUGCCCAAGCCAGCAGCCCCAGCGACGUGUUUGAUUCCUUCGAAGAGAUGAAGAUAGUGGAGAUGCCCGACGAUUCCUGCUUCACUUUGGUGCUGAUGGCGAGCAGCCAAGUGGGCGAGCCCAAUGUCGGCGGCUCCUACUUCAACUCCAUGCGUCUGGAUUACGGGGUGGCGGCGAGAAAGCAACACUACUGCUGCAUCGUGGACAUGCUGGGGCGAGCGGGAUACCUGCAUGCGGCGGAAGAGCUUGUGCAAACCAUGCCUUUUCUUCCCAACUCGUGGGACUGGACGUCCAUGCUAAGUUCUUCCAGAGGCGAUAGAAUCUGGAAAAACGGUGCUCGAGUGACGAAACGAGCUUUGCUUUCGGGCCCCAGCGAUGGAGCUGCUCUUGUGCUGCUCGCACGCUCCUCAUGAUUCUUACUACUUUUCCGAAACUUUACCUCUAUAAAAUGGGUUAUCGAAUUUAGGGCCCCGCCUCUCCGACGCCGCGACGAUGUGGUCGCGAGUUUGAAUCGCUUCUUGGACAUCUGGAAGGCGGCAUCGGCCAUCGGCCAGGUUUUAUCCUUACUACCAUUUCUCGUAUUUUGGAGCUGAAUCGCGUGAUUCUAGAGGAGGCGCAUUGCCAUUGUUACAUGUGUUAGGGUCAUUGACAAUUUCAGCUCGGGUAGUCGAGGAGCAGAGUGCGUUAUUCUUUCUUCUCAUUCUUUUUUUAUGAUUUUUUUUUUCAAGGCACUUCCUUGCAAGUGACUGCUGUGAUUUUCCUUCAUCGGAGGCAAGCAGCACUCUUUUUUUCUUUUGCAAAUGGUGAUGCUACUUUCGUGAAAUACUUUUUAGAGGAUCUAUGCAGCCAUUUUGCCGCUCGCUGCCGGCUAAUCCCAUACAAGAAUGUCUCGAGCCUGUGGAUGGAUCAAUCCGGGGUAAGCGAAAUCUGCCUUUUAUUUCUUCGAGAGUUUAACUCCCGCUUCGCAGCACGAGAAAAAUGGUUUGAUGCUGUCACUCGGGCAGUCACAGGACAUAGCUCAGUUCUUGUUUCUCUUCUUGAGUUCUUAAGAAUCAAAACAGGCGGUGCUCCAGAAGAAGCUCUUGAAGCUCGAGUUCACUACGCUCUUCGAGUACCUCCAAGUAAGAAACGUGCCGCGCAAACUCUGGUUUGUAUGACGGUUUUUCGUGGCACAUUUUAGAAGAUUGUUGGAGCUGCCAUGAAACCAGUUGGCAGGCAUGCUAUGUUUUACUUUGCAGCGGCUGUCUCCGACUUCUACGUCCCCUGGAACUCCAUGGUAAGAACUUCUCGUCUUCUCUCGUUUUGUUUUCGGUGGAAAUCUCAAAAAUAAUCUUCUCUAUCCAGAUGGAGCACAAGAUCCAGUCGGAUGACGGCUCGAUGACAAUGCAGCUCGCUCCGGUUCCAAAGAUGCUUGGAUUGUUACGAAAGCAUUGGGCUCCGGAGGCCUUUUGCGUCUCGUUCAAGGUUUUUCAUUUCCUCUUUACUCUUCUCCUCUAUAGCAGCUCAAUCGAGCAAAGUUUUAUAUCGUAUCAGCUGGAAACGGACGUGGACAUACUCCUCAAGAAAGUACGCUCGUCGCUUUGCAAGUAUGGCAUGCACGCGGUGGUCGGCAACGAGCUCGACACGAGGAAGAACAGGGUCGUGAUUGUGACAAGAAAAGUAGAGAUGGUUUUGGAAAAGGGUGACUGCUCCGACAUAGAGUUGCCGCUGGUGAAUUUUCUGGUCGGCCAUGUAUCUCCAGCAGCAACAAGCAUGAAUUUGGCAGCAGCACGAGAGCCUUGCGCUCGUCCCAUCAAAUCCUCCACAGGUCAAGUCCACUCACUCGCGAGUUCUUCCUUGUCUCAAACACUUGCCGGCUCCCAGGUCUUCCUCUCCAAUCUCCUCAUAUAAAUGUAUGGAAGAUGCGACCGAUGCUCUCUUGGUUUUUGAGGGGUCUUGUUUGAUCUCUUGUUCUUGGCAUAUGCCCAAAACGGACAUCCACAAAGGUCACGGACGGCCAUGUUGGUAUUAUACGCACGGAAUGGCCACCUUGGCGAUGCCAUGGGUCAGAGACAUUGUGGCCAACUGUGGCAUAUGCAUCUUGUUAAAGAGCUUAAAAUUUCUAGAGAGAUGCUCAAAGAAUCUUGUAGGGGGCAUCUUGUUGGCGCCAAGUUCAGCGCGAGGGAUGUUUGAAGUGAUGCUUGAGCGAGAUCUCGUGUGGAGCGUGAUCUCGUGUCCUUGGCCAGAGUCUGUGGCAUCUGAUGAGCAGUAGAAUAGGCGGACAAGCUGUCCUUGAAAUCCCUUGCUAGUGCUUCUUACAAAUGCUCAGCUAAUUUCUUAUGCCGAGCGGGGCAAUUGGAUCCGCUAAGCUUUCCUUUGAUGCUAUGCCGGGAAGGGAUCAAGUAUCCUGGAAUGCUAAAAUUUUUGUGCCGGGCAUUGUCACUGUCGAAACUGAUGCUUGAUAGUGUUCCUUAUCAUAUUGGAAUGCAAUGUUAUCAGCAGCAUCUUCAGUUUUCCGAAUCAGUUUCUUUCAUCAAAUGCCAGACGUGUCUUGGAAUGCAAUGUUUUUCCUCAUGCUUGCUUGGGAUGUUAUUUCCUUCAACACCUUAUUGGGCAGUAUGCAGCUUGGAGGGAAACAAAGUAUCGUUUUUCAAGCUGACACCCUUUGGUCAGUUGGAUCCAAUUGACUUAGGGUGUGAAGGAUAAGAUUUUAACAGUUCUUUUGGACCAUGAUAGCUGAGUCUAUUGCUGGACUCACUAUAACGAGGGAAUGUGUUAAUCUUCUUAUGUAAAAGUGUUCAUAUGUGUGGAGGUUGUACUUGCUAUGUAAACCCUUCUCCAUCAAACUUGCGGAUGGAUGCCUUUCCUUCUAUAGUGCUAUCCCAGCUCCGAUACCAUGAGACAAAUCGGGAUCAAAGCGCACCGCGCUAGCGGACAGAACAGGAAAACCCUAAUGUCUACGUGGUGAGGGUGUGUCGUGUAACAAUCCUGACUUGCCUGUGUUGGAGCCACGAGAACGUUGAGCCCGUUGCCACACUUAUGAUCGUGUUGAGCACCAUGGGAGCAGCGCAAAAGUUGGUCAUGUUGUGCUCGGCUAUGGUGACAAAGAUUCCUUUGGCCGUCACCUGUGGAAACGAGGAACUUUACUGCUAUACGAGUGUAAAUGAAGAGAUGAGGAAAAGCAAACCUGGCGAAGACAUAUGUUGGUCCUGGCCAGAGCUGCGACUGCCCAAGGAAAGCACCACCCAUUGCAAUGGAAGAGCAGGAGAGUCCAGAGAUAGAUGCAUGGCAAGCUUAAGCUGGCUUCACAUCUUAUUCUGGAAGAGGUCAGUUGUAGAAUUGUGGAAGAAGACAUAGAAUAGAAGACAUUUUUUUGCCUAUACAGAGAUUGAGGAUGUGGCAGUGGUAUGAAAGUCGAAAGUUCUCAUUGUUGCUCCCCUGGAUGUGGGAUGUGGGAUCUCAAAAGGACAGGCAGUGAUCUGGUGAACCUUGUUGGAAGAUAGAGAGUUCUUUUUUUCUUUUUCUAAUGAACAGCUUAUCAUUUGCAGACAUUUUCCAGGAGAAUGACAAAUGCCACCGAGUUGCUUCAGAGGGGCACAAGUUUCGAGAUGCAUGAAUGUGGGUACAGUAAACAUGCUGAUUUUGUUCCGUUUCAAAGUGUCACUUGAGUUAUUUCUUCUCACAGCUCGAUCAUCUCCAGGAAAUGGUCCCAUUCCGCAAGGAAGCUAGUAGCAUAGCUUAAGUCUCCAAUGUGGAAAAUUGCAUCUACUACCUCUUUUGCCAUGGCAUCAAUAACUUGCAGUGCACCAGGCUGCAAACAUAAAUAGUUCAGGAGUGUGAAUGCAAUGUGUGAAUGGUAAUUUUUUCUUCUUGCUAUCUCUUGCAAUAUGAGAGGUCAUGUUUCUGUGCAUAGGGGAGAAUAUCAUCCAGCCGUGUGGGCUGGGAAGUAUGUGAAUAGCUGGCAGACAUCAUUUGACAUGAAAGACAGAUGGCCACAGUAAAGUUCUUCUUCUUUUUCCCUUUUCUGACUAGUUUCGCUUGUAGAAUAGACUUGCUAGUGGAUGACAAUAAUUUGUGGGCAUCUCACACUGGUCCCAGAGGCUGGAACGGUGAGAUCAGUGGUUAGCUUUGCAUAAAUUUCUCAAGUUUUCUCUUUUAGAUCCCGAUAUGCUCCAAGUGGGGAAUGGUCAAAUGUCCUUGGCUGACUUUCAUUCACAUUUUAGCAUUUGGUCUAUCAUGAAGGUGUAAGCAAUUAAAUUUUCCAUUCUACUUUAGUCACUUAACCACACCUCUGACCACUUGGAGGAAUCUCAUUCACAACUUCCUUAAGUUCAAUUCAGGACUUGGGAUUUGCUAGUCCCGAGAAUGGCAUCCAUGCCACUCAACCCUUGCACUUGGUCCAAAUGCUCCACGUGUCCAGUCCCAAGACUGACACCCAAAGGUACCACUAACAUAUUGGCCUGUUACGCCAAGGCCAUGCCCAUUCACUUUUGCCACACUGGUGGUACAAUACCACUUGCAUCACAAUCCCGUCUCUCCAAGACUGGGCCGUCCGUCCAUGAGUGGUCAUCCCAGAUCCACUCCUUAGCAUCUUUAGGAUGCCUGCAGACAUGGGAAACAACCUUCCCCAAUAUCCCUUUAACAGUCCCCACCAAGAUCCUUUUCUGUGCAUGGCCAUAUUCACCAACACUACCACUGGAUCAAGGCCCACAGGCCCAACCACUAAGUCCCACUGUCCUUUGGGACUUCCUCACCACAUGACCGUGUCAUUGGUCACCAGAGGAUCACUGCUCUUCCCUUCCAUAGUCUGGGACUUUGGGACAUCAUUUUGGAACACCGCAGCCCUAUGCGGGCCUCCUGGGUGCUCUCCCCACCUUCUGUCUUUGGGUGCUCUAGCCAUGGGCUUAGAGCGAGGUUCCGUUGAGCCACGCUUAGUAUCCAAGUAGGUAGUGCCACCCACACUUGGACUGGGAGCAUCGGCCAGUCGAUCUCCCGGGGGAACUAAAGCCGGCUCUUGAACACUUCACCAGACUACCCCGCUUGUCGGUCCGUAUUCACUCUAGUCUUAGACUUCCCAGUGGUCAGUUCAUCACCCAAUACUGGGUCUAGCCUUCCUGGGCCAAACUGGCCUUUCCUGGCCAAACUGGCUCCACUGCAAUCCUCCCCCUUACUAUACUUUUGGAGCUCACCAAACCCCCCAGAGUUUGGGAGACGAGCACUUUGGGCUUUCACCCUCUUAGACUCAAACUUGGACUUGGACUCGGACUCGGACUCGGACUCGGACUCGGACUCGGUCUCGGGCUCGGCCUCGGCCUUGGUCUCGGUCUUGGUCCCGGUCCCGGUCCCGGUUGCAGUCUCGGUCUCAGUCUCGGUCCCGGUCUCGGUCCCGGCCUCGGUCUCAACCUCGGACUCCAUCUCGGGUCCUUCUCGAACUCCAUCUCGGACUCCGUCUCAGACUCCAUCUCGGACUCCGUCUCGGUCCAUCUCGAACUCCAUCUCGGGUCCAUCUCGGACUCCGUCUCGGUCCAUCUCGAACUCCAUCUCGGGUCCAUCUCAGACUCCGUCUUGGACUUCAUCUCGGACUCCAUCUCAGACUCCAUCUCAGACUCCAUCUCAGACUCCAUCUCGGGUCCAUCUCAGACUCCAUCUCAGACUCCAUCUCGGUCCAUCUCAGACUCCUUCUCGGACUCCAUCUCGGACUCCAUCUCGGGUCCAACUCGGACCCCAUCUCGGACUCCAUCUCGGACUCCAUCUCAGACUCCACCUCGGGUCCACCUCGGACUCCAUCUUGGACUCCAUCUCGGGUCCAUCUUGGACACUUCCAUGUGUCAUGUGUUAGUCCUUUUUGGGUCCCUUUUUAGAGCCUUGCUUAUUGCUUGUUUCGUGCUCAUUCCUCGAGCACUUUGUUGGGAGUUCCACUCCCGCUCUCGACCUAUCAAGUUGGAGCUUUUAGUCCAAAUGUGUUACGCUCGUUUGGCUUUCGCUUCGGCCACUACCACGUGGCACCCUUCCGGCUCCACUUUGGGGCCUAGGGAUUUUGUGUCUCACAGAAGGUUUGCAUGCUCAUUUAUCAUUAACCCAGACUAUAGUACCUUGCCUCAAGCACCUCUCAUCAUUGGCUAUGAGUUGAGAACAAUCACGAAAGAACACUUUGAAAUUUACAAGAACACUAAGAUAAUAGUGGUAAAUUAAGGUAAGUUUUUGAAGAUUAGAGCUAUUGCUUUUUUAAUAUUUUUCUUUUGAUAUGUAAAAUACAAGGACGCAAAGUGAGCCGAAUAGGACAGUCAGAGUUAAUUACUUCUUGUUUGAGACUGACGAAGUAUUGUGUGAUCACUGUAGCACACCUUAUCUCUCUCCCCUUAAUGUUUGACACUGACAAAGCAUUGUGUGAUCACUGUAGCACACUUUAUCUCUCUUCCCUUAAUGUUUGACACUGACAAAACAUUGUGUAAUCACUGUAGCAUACUUUAUCUCUCUCCCCUUAAGCCAACUAGAAAAGGGGCAAUUACUUGAUAAGAGAGCCAUUAAUGGCUAUUUUAUCCCUAUUUAUCCCCCAAGGUUCCAAGGAUCCACGAUGACAGUAUAUUCAAAUCUCAUCCCAUGAUCACAUGCGCUACACUCACCCCCCCUUCAGAGAUGUCAAUGUCCUCAUUGACUAUUGACUAAUGUAGACCAGCUGAGCCAAGAGUCCUCGUCCUUUAUGCUAGUCAAUGUCCUCAUUGACUAUUGACUAGCGUAGACCAGCUAAGCCAAGAGUCCUUGUCCUCAUUGACUAUUGACUAGCAUAGACCAGCUGAGCCAAGAGCCCCCUUCAGAGAGGACAUUGCCCUUCAGAGCUGUCAAUGUCAGUGUUAGUCUACAGACUCUAUAUCAGAGCUGUCAAUAUCAGUGUUAGUCUAUAAACUCUAUAUCAGAGCUGUCAAUGUUAGUGUGUAGAAACUAGUCUACAGAAGAAGGCAACUAGUCAUCCACCCGUACCACAGUCCCACACAAGAGGAAGGAUGUACUGCACCCGUACCACAGUCCCACACAAGAGGAAGGACGUACUUGCCCUUCAGAGCUGUCAAUGUCAAUGUUAGUCUAUAGACUCUGUAUCAGAGCUGUCAAUGUCAGUGUUAGUCUAUAAACUCUAUAUUAGAGCUGUCAAUGUUAGUGUGUAGAGACUAGUCUACAGAGGAAGGCAACUAGUCAUCCACCCGUACCACAGUCCCACACAAGAGGAAGGACGUACUGCACUUGUACCACAGUCCCACACAAGAGGAAGGCACACAAGAGGAAGGAUGUACCGCAAUUACUGCAGUCCUAUGGUGGAUACCUUCAUCCGUGGAUACUCCACACAAGAGAAUGGACGUACGUAUGGAUAUCCAAUACGUAUAAUUUCAAAUUUAGAGGUAGGUAUAUUUUCACAAUUUAAGGGUAAAAAUAUACCUUGCUCAAGGGUAUAUUAUAUUUUUAAGUAGCUACUAAUCAAUGGGAAUCGAACUCGUGCCAUUUGCUCCGAUACCAACUGUAGCACACCUUAUUUCUCUCCCCUUAAGCCAACUAGAAAAGAGGUAAUUGCUUGAUGAGAGAGCCUUUAGUGGCUAUUUUAUCCCCAUUUAUCCCCAAGGUUCCAAGGAUCCACAGUGAUAGUAUAUCCAAAUCUCAUCCCAUGAUCACAUGCGCUACAAUCACGUAGGCCCUUCGCGAUAGAAUUGUCAUGGUAGCAUGAAACAAAGGGUGGAAGCGAGUAUUAAUCAGGAACAACUGUAAAUUGAAUCAACUAUGACAACAAAUAUGAAAAAUUUGCAAAAGGUACACAAUAUGUUACACAAUUCACAAUUGAUAUAUAUCUUUGUGCUGUGUGGGUUAUAGCACGAAGAUUAGACUUCAAGGUAGGAGGAUGGUUUUGAAGUGGAAAUAGAUUCCCACAACUGUGGGGUGUAUAUCUUGUCCAACAUUUCCAUGGUAGAAUUGUGCUUUAAUAGUGGAAGAUGAACAUGGGAUGCCAAUACCACUGAUUUGUAGUUAAAAAGUGGAUUUUAAAUUGAUUUUCCUUCUUCAUUAUAAUAUGUGUUUUGUCAAGGAUUUUGCAAAUCCUUACAUAAAAUGCCUCAAUGAUUGGAGAGCAUAAAUUUAUGUUGCUAAAUACAGGAACGACAAGGGUUGCAUUCAUACAGCAACCAUGUCGCAAAUCUACAUCAAGCAGAAAAACCUCUAGCUUUGGUUUCUUUGAAAAAAAUGAGUCUCGGAAGCAUACCCCCAUGCGCAUUUGAUUGAGCCCCCAUUGGCAGUCACUGAAAGGUAACCAUUGUUCACUACUGUGGGAUCCAGGCAGCUUUCCAGGCUUCGCUGGCGGCGAUUCUGUGGUAGUGGUGAAGAUCUAUGCUCGAGAGGCGAGCCAGAUGAUGCUAGAUGUGCUGGGGGAAUCUGAAUUGGAAAGAUGAACAAUUUCGGCCGGGCAGAGAGCUUUCCUCUGCCGCUGGGAACAUCGUGCUACUCCAAUAUUUUCUUCAGUAACAAGAGCUUCGGCAGAUUUCUCUCAAAGGUGAAAUCCUCGCUCCUGGAUAUUUCUCUGACAUUGUUGCUGGGCGGCCAGAGGAGAAGGCACUGGAGGCGAUGCAUAUGCUUGUGCAGGCGUUUUAAACGUCUUGGACAGUGAGAAGGGUGUGAGGGCCUUCGUGCCGCUGCUAAAGUCCCAGGAAUUGCUCAAGGAGCUCUCUUUUAUGAACAAUGGGAUCUCCAUUGUGCUGCAUGGGAGAUCGUCACCACCACCAUCUCUCUCAAGCUCUUCCACUUCCACAACAACUUGACCGGUGAUCAAGGAGCCAGAUCUCUCACCAGGCUCAUCGAGAAGGUUGUCCAGCUCGAGAACUUUCUCUUCUCAUCGACUGGAGUUGGGUGGCACUGGCUUCAGCCAUCGCUGGUGGAUCCAACCUCAAAGUUCUCAACUUGAGAGACAACAGGUCCUGGAGGUGGUGCUGUGCUUGGAAAAUUUCAAUCAUGAUAAAUCUACAUACCGUGCCAUGAAAAACCCAGAUUUUGUACAUAUUAAAGAGCGCUCUACAUUUCCCUGGCGCUGCUGUUGUUGUCACAUAUGCAACCAGGAAAUGGGUUGUCAAAUAAAUAGUCUUUGUGCUUUGGGACAAGAGUGGGAACUCUUAGAGCUGGACCUGUCCUCACUUUGUGCAGCAUUUUCACUUGAAACGCAAAUUCAUCCCAAGACAUAUUCCCAGCUCCAUAGCUAUCAAUGAGCCAAAUAAGCUUUCACCUGGAGGAGAGUGGAAUGAGUUAGAGAAUUAGAGAAACUAUAAAUGUAGAAUGAAGCCAUGUUUCCAUCAUGCGUGAACAUGAAGACAUCGCUCUCAAGUGCAACUGCAUCAUCCACAGCCGAGAGCCUGUUUUGGUACCUGGCAGUUGAAAGCUCCUCAUAAAUUGUCAAUCUUGAAUGUGAGUACACACGAUCUUCAGUGACCUAUCUAUGUGAAAUCAGUGAUAGUCUGUCUACUACUGGCAAUUCCUGUCAUAUGAUUUCUUGUGUUCUUGUAACUACUGUUAGUAGAGCAGUGAGACAAAAAAAAAAAAAAAAACAAACAAAAAAAAAG